UAGUCAUAUGCUUGUCUCAAAGAUUAAGCCAUGCAUGUCUCAGUGUAAACUUUUAAACGGUGAAACUGCGAAUGGCUCAUUAAAACAGUUAUAGUUUAUUUGAUAGUCACUUUUACAUGGAUAACCGUGGUAAUUCUAGGGCUAAUACAUGCGGUCCCGCAAGGGAUGUGUUUAUUAGAUUUUAAACCAACUCUGGGCAACCAGGUAAAUUGGAAUGAUAAUAACCGAACGAAUCGCACUUCGCAGUCGCGAUAGAUCAUUCAAGUUUCUGACCUAU
rnacentral:rRNA from 1 species